UUGCGCUAGGCGGGAAGCUAGCGGUGUCCUGUCGCCCGAAAUCCGCUUGAUGCGGGGCUGAAUUCCCUUUUGAGGGUCCACAGUUCCAUAUCCCAAGAGUAGUCUCCGGUCGGGCGCCACGCAACAUGCGGUUACGAACUCCGUCAGGUCCGGGAGGAAGCAGCGGUAAGUAAUCCAGCAUGUGUCGUGGGACGGCUUCGGCCAAAUUAUGACGACUCGAGGCGCCGUGGAAAGGGUUCGACAAAGGGUGCGCAA
rnacentral:SRP_RNA from 1 species